ensembl:lncRNA
CUGAGCCAGGCCCUGGACUUAGUCUCUUAUUGGCAAUGUUUCAUAUUAACUAACAAACCAGUCAUAUUAUUGUCCCCAUUUUACAGAUGAGGAAAUCGAGGCUCAGAGAGAUGAAGAAAAUAACCUAAGGACACAUGGCCAGUGCGCAGCAAAGCCUGGACUUCAGCCCAGGUCUUUCUGUACCCUGCGAGCCCACACUGUAUAGAACCACUGGCUCUACUGCUGGUGGAGAAAGGAAGCAGCGCCAUACGGCAGAAAACCCAAGUUCCACUUCUGGAAACCCAAUCCAGCAAGAAAUUCAAGUGCCUCCUGCGUCCACCUGGAUAGAUGAUCAGACAUCUCUAAGCCUCAGCUGCCUUAUCUGUAAAAUGGAGACUGAUGGUCCAGUGGCUGGAGAGGAUGGGCAGAAACUGGCGGACAGAGAGGAGCCCCAGCUCAGUCAGCAUAUGAAGUCUCUGGGCUGGGGAGUCUACACGUACUGGCAGUCCCAUGCUAGGAGUUGUCUCGCUGAUCAUCGCAAUUAUAUCCUGACACCAAGCAUAGAAAGUAUUAUUAGCUCCAUUUACUGACACAGAACUGAGGCUGGAAGGGAGGUCAUUUGCUCAAAAGCUCCCUCCCUUCUCUCUCUCUCUCUCUCUCUCUCUCUCACAGAGCCAGAGACUUCUGGCAGAGUCUUCCCUAUGUAAUCUGUCUACUACUCCUCCACCCAGCCUCCUAACUUUGCAUCAGAAGGGUUUUCUAGAGCUCUCCAUGGGGCCCCCAUCUCUGACUCUGUCACUUCUCGCUUCUCGGGGGCAAGCAUCGCGACUGCCUCUGGUGGCCACACGUGCUCUGCGCCAGGGUCCUAUCCACCGAGUCCCCGUCAACUCGGUGCCCUUGCCGGAGCUGCCCUGGCCCUGGCUGUCACCUGCACCCCUCCGACACCAAGCUGCGGGCUGUGCUCGGUAGGAACCCAGCCCAGUGCCGGCAGGAGCAACCUCCAAGGGAGGCCUCCAGGGAGAAACGUCCAAAGGCAGCGUUCUGGUCCAAGUGAAAAGUCUGGUUCCCGGACCAGCAGUCUCAACAUCACCUGGGAGCUUGUUAGAAAUGCAGUUUCUCUGAGACUUCCCUGGUGGUCCAGUGGGUAAGAAUUCGCCUUGCAAUGGAGGGGACACAGGUUCAAUCUCUGGUCAGGGAACUUAGAUCCCACAGGCCUCGGAGCUACUGAGCCCCACGACUGCACCUAACACCUGAGUCAGCCAGAUUCUCAGCCCCUCCAUGCUACCUUCCUCCACCUCCUCCAAGAUCUUAUGAAUGAGAACUUCUGAGAGUAAAGCCCUGAUUGUUGUUAGUCUCUCAGUCAUGACUGACUCUGCAACCCCAUGGACUGCAGCACGCCAGGCUUCCCUGUCCUUCACUAGCUCCUGGAGUUAGCUCAAACUCAUGUCCAUUGAGUCGGUGAUGCCAUCCAACCAUCUCAUCCUCUGUCGCCCCCUUCUCUCUUGCCCUCAGUCUUUCCCAGCAUCAGGAUCUUUUUCAAUGAGUCAGCUCUUCGCAUCAGGUGGCCCAAGUUUUGGAGCUUCAGCUUCAGCUGAAAGGAUGAAAGGAGUGAAGAAGUGAAGACGCUCAUUUGUGUCCGACUCUUUGUAACCCCGUGAACUGUAGCCCCGCCAGGCUCCUCUGUCCAUGGGAUUCUCCAGGCAAGGAUACUGGAGUGGGUUGCCAUUUCCUUCUCCAGGGGAUAUUCCCAACCCAGAGAUUGAACCCAGGUCUGCCACAUUGCAGGCAGACUCCUUACCGGCUGAGCCACGAGGGAAGUCAUAAAGGAUGGGGGCAGCCACAUAUGUCCCAGGGUGAUAUGGCCACCUCUGCUCAGCACAGAACUGGAACUCUGUGCUCAGGUGUGGACUGAGCCUCAGGUGAGGAGACGUGCCUAGACCACCCAGUCCUGACUCUGGGCUCCGAGUUUCCCCCCAUCACCCCCCUCACCCUCCCUGUCCACUGAGGGAUUUCACUUGGAUCCCUCCCCUUCCGUUAAGCAGGCCUGCAGGUUCCUUUGUCACUCCAGGUUAGGAAAGACCAAACCCCUUCCCUGCCCUCUUCCAGCACACUUAGGAAUCCUGAUGAGGCUUUCCCAACCACUAAGAGAGGAUGCCACAAAAGAAUGAGAAAAGAGGAAGAGGAGCUCUGGAGACUGCUCAGCUACCUAUUAGCUGUGUGACCUUGAGCGAUUUAAUUAACCUCUCUGAGUUUCAGUUUCCUCCACCCGGCAGAUGGGAAUGAUAAUCAUAAUGAUAUGCCUAACUCUGGAGUUGCUUUGGGUUUUAAACAAGUUAAUAUUUGUAAUGUACUUAGAAUAGUGGCCAGCACACUGUAAACGCUACAGCAGUGUUUGUUCAAUAAAUAAGAAAUGAAGGCAUGAAUCCA